rnacentral:rRNA from 1 species
UAAAAGUCGUAACAAGGUUUCCGUAGGUGAACCUGCGGAAGGAUCAUUAAUGAAUUUUAGGACGUUCUUUUUAGAAGUCCGACCCUUUCAUUUUCUUACACCGUGCACACACUUCUUUUUUACACACACUUUUAACACCUUAGUAUAAGAAUGUAAUAGUCUCUUAAUUGAGCAUAAAUAAAAACAAAACUUUCAGCAACGGAUCUCUAGGCUCUCGCAUCGAUGAAGAACGCAGCGAAUUGCGAUAAGUAAUGUGAAUUGCAGAAUUCAGUGAAUCAUCGAAUCUUUGAACGCACCUUGCACUCUUUGGUAUUCCGAAGAGUAUGUCUGUUUGAGUGUCAUGAAACUCUCAACACCCCUAUUUUGUAAUGAGAUGGGCGUGGGCUUGGAUUAUGGUUGUCUGUUGGCGUAAUUGCCGGCUCAACUGAAAUACACGAGCAACCCUACUGUAACAAACGGUUUGACUUGGCGUAAUAAUUAUUUCGCUAAGGACGUUUUCUUCAAUUAUAAGAGGUGCUUCUAAUUCGCUUCUAAUAGCAUUUAAGCUUUAGACCUCAAAUCAGUCAGGACUACCCGCUGAACUUAAGCAUAUCAAUA